rnacentral:ncRNA from 1 species
UAAUUCAUUCGUAUAAUUUUGCCGAUAUGGGGCAUAAGUCUCUACCCUUUGACCGUAAAUUGAAGGACUACGAUAGAAGUACUC